AUUGACCGCUGGCGGCAGGCCUAACACAUGCAAGUCGAGCGGAGCGGCGGACGGGUGAGUAAUGCCUAGGAAUCUGCCUGGUCGUGGUGGAUAACGUCCGGAAACGGACGCUAAUACCGCAUACUAUCAGAUGAGCCUAGGUCGGCUUAGCUGGUUGGUGGGGUAAAGGCCUACCAAGGCGACGAACCGUAACCGGUCUGAGUGGAUGAUCAGUCACACUGGAACUGAGACACGUUCCAGACUCCGACGGGAGGCAGCAGUGGGGAAUAUUGGGCAAUGGGCGAAAGCCUGAUCCAGCCAUGCCGCGUGUGUGAAGAAGGUCUUCGGAUUGUAAAGCUCUUUAAGUUGGGAGGCGUUACCAGCAGAAUAAGCACCGGCUAACUUCGUGCCAGCAGCCGCGGUAAUUC
rnacentral:rRNA from 1 species